AUUGCCAGCAAGCACAGGAAGCUAGGAGAGAGGCAUUGAACAGAUUCUUCCUCCAAGCCUCCAGAAAAAGCAGCCCGGUAGACACCUUGAUAUCAGACUUCUGGCCUCCAGAAAAAACGUGGGGGUCCUCUCCUAUCUCGUUUUUGGUUCUCUGUUAUCUUCUCCACUGAGAAUCCACCUUUGAGAGUGAACUCUUCAAAGAAAAGGACCACAUUUUCUCCAUCAUUGGACCCAUCAUGCAGCAUCUAGUGCAAUGCCUGGCACUUAGCAGUCAUUCUUCACACUGUCUACCACUAUGAUAAAAAGUUACAUGAGUUAAGUACCACAUGGGCUACACAGACAUUGUCCUAAGAAGCCAAGGAGGAAAGGAGCUUGCCAGAGGGGGCAAGUUUUAUGAAAGAGGAUGUCUUUGCACUGUUCCCUAAUGGAUAGAUGGGAUUUUCAACAGCAGACAUUGGGAAGAUGUCAUUGAAGUCAGAAGAAUUAUAUGAAUAGAAAAUUCAAAACAUGCUCAGAGAGCAGUAAGACUUGAGACAGGAGCAAUGUAAAGUAUUGACAUAAUUUAUGUACAUAAGAAAAAGAUUUGAACUAGAGUGGAAAAGGAAAAGAGGCAGUAGAUGUAAGAAAACAAAAAUCAUCAUGUACAUCAGGCCAGCAUUGGUAGGCAGAAAAGUUGAGAAAGUCUGCUCAAAGGAAGUAAGGGUUAUUUGUGGAAAUAUCGUCUCCUAUGAAGCCUUGUAGAUCUUCCUUCCUG
ensembl:lncRNA novel transcript